AGAGGAAACCAGAUGGAGCUACUGGACCUGCAGUUUGACACUGUUCUGAAGCCAAAAUACGCUGAUGUUGGCGUUCCAGAUUUCUACCAGUUUCUUCCCAGAGAGAAGUUUCCAAACUUAUUCUGCGCAGCUGCUAGAAUUCUAGCGAUGUUUGGGAAUACGUACGUUUGCGAACAGUUUUUUUUUCAGAAUGAUCAACAAAACAGCAUUACGAUCAAGACUGACUGAUAAGCAUCUGAGAGCAACCUUGCAGCUUGCCUCUACACGCGACUUCAGGCCUACCGUCGAUGGUCUGGUCUCUGCCAAACGCUCUCAGCUGAGUGGACAGAAACAUGAGUGACGAGCCAUCUGCAGUAGGCCUAGAAAUUAUAGUUGUUGUUUUUUGGGGAACUACAGUUUCUGCUUUUUUAUAAGUGACAGAGACAACGUUAACUUAUUUUAGUAAACUAAACUGCCUGUACAAGUAAUAAACUAAACUAAAUGUAAUUAAUAUUUAUAAAAACUUUAUUUUAGCAUUUAACUGCAAUAACAGUAGUGUUCGUAAAAUUUAAUGAAAAAAAUUCUUUUUUGUGGUUGUUACUUUCCACUGUGGCCCACAUGCUGAAAUGAGUUUGAGACCCCUUGACUAAGCAAUGUUAAGUCUUUACAGAACAAUUCAUGACAGUCGACACAACUACAGAGUUGGGUAUAUUUUGUCGCUAAAAUAGAAAAAAAAAAUACAAGCGCUCGUUCGCAAUAUUCUUUUGUCGGAAAUUUCGAUGCACCAUUUACUAACAGGUAAUACAGUUUAUAUUGUUAGAAAAUAAUGUAUAAUAUGUAAAAUAAUGUAUUUUCUAUGUAUCAUGGGCGUAAUCUGGAGUUGUUGUUUUUUUGCGCGUGGCUACAAAUAAAGGGUAAUAACAAAUUAUUCAGUUAUUCUUUCUUUGCGCACAAACACAAACGCAACGUUAGCAAAUAUUUGACUUUACUGUUAGGCCCGCUGCUUUUUAAAUGUAGCAACGACAUGACUACCUAAAUGGCAUUAUUCACCUUAAACUUAGGUAGCAUUUAGGUUGUCUAUAGCCAUCGAUUCAUCAUUGAUGAGCAUGUACACCAUACUAAAUGUGUCUCAUUAAAAAAAAAAGAAAAUAAAUCUUACAGUAUGAGAGAUAUGGAUAUAAAUGUAGGGCAUUUUUGUAGUCUGUUUUAUUAUUAGUUUAAAUGUUCUCGGGGAAAAUUUAACAAAGGCCUUAAACAGGACUUUGAUUAUUUAAUAAAUAGGUAUUAAAUUGUAUUUGCAUUAACAAGUAAUUUUAAUUGCAAUAUGCAUAUUUGUUAUAAUUAAUAAUAAUUUAUUUUUACUUGAUAAUUUUAUCAGUCCCUAGCAGACACACCAUCAUCACCCAGUACUACAUAAAUUAAUAAACGAUGUGUAUGAUGAUUUACAAUUAAGCUAUAAAUGUAAUUCAGUGAUGUUUGUACAAUUAUGUGAAUAAUAACCAAUAUGAAUGAAAUGUACACACACAAAUACAUAUGGCAUAAUAUGAAGUAAAUAAUUUAUAAUUACAGUCUAAUUUAAUACUUAAAUAGUUUUUAAAACAAAAAAGGCACCUUAUAGUAUGUUGCUGAAUAACACAGAUGUCAACAAGAUUUUAGUUUCCAACUCAAGACAAAGAUUCCAUAGUAGGUUCAGUUAAACUUUCUUACGAAUCCAUAAUAAAAUAACUUCACAAUAUAAAAUAAAUAAAUAAGUCUUGUCCGAAUAAGGAAUGAAUUAUUUCCCAUGGCUGUGCAGCCCAAGAUGUGACCUACAUAUUUUGCCACACCGAGGGCAAGCAUAACCAUCAUCCGUAGGUGGUCGAUUUAGAUGUUAUUUUCGCCGUCUUCGUUUGACCUCUGCAGCGGAUUUUCUUUUGGCCUCAAAUGUGUAUCCAGCGGCCUUUGUGAGUGACCUCCAGCUGUCUCGUUAUGACGACGCAUGCAAUCAGGUGCUCUCUUCUAUGUCAGCCAAAGAAAGUUGACGCCUAAACUGGUUUUUAAAGCGUUUCCGUGGAGCGCCUCUGUUACGUCGACCACCUUUUAACUCACAAAAAAAAAAGACUGCCUUCGGCAUACGGUCGUCUCCCAUACUUAAUACGUGCCCUACCCAGCUUAACUGUCGGACCAUAACAAAUCCCUCUAUACUGUCCAUACCGGCGUUCGCAAGGACAUCGCUGUUUGUAGUGCUGUCUUGCCACCGUAUCUCCAUGAUUGAGCGCAAACAUCUUUGUUGAAAGCGAUCAAGUAGUCUUAGUUCUGUAUAAUGUCCAUGUCUCAGAGCCAUAUAAAAAAAAUUGAGAUAAUAACUUCUUGGUAGACAUCGAUUUUGUUGGGCAGGCGGAGCAAUUAAUUCCGCCGAACCUUCACCUGAAGGCGUCCAAAAGCCCUACUGGCCCUACCGAGACGGUUAUCAAUUGUCAUUUUCUGAAAUAUGAAAUGCUUCACGCCAUUUUCUAUUGGGAAGUGACCAGAAAGGGCACUAUCGUGUCUGAUCUGGCCUCUUUGUCCAACGUGAAACUGCUUGAAAAAUGGAUAGGGACGUAGAUGGGCAUUCUAGCCUGGCCAAAAUCCUCUAAAAACCAUCGCGACUGACCGUGUCGAAAGCCUUGGUGAGGUCCACAAGGCAACGUAUAGGUUUAGGUUCUGCUCUUUGCAUUUUUCUUGUAAUUUUAGCAGAACAAAUAUCAUGUAAGGUGUACCUCUAACGGUUCUCAAAUAUGAAAUAAAACUCACCUCAAAUAGGGGUCAAAAGUCAUUAUGAGUAUAUAGAAAGCAAUUGUUAAGGCUGUCCAUAACGUUAAGGAAAGGACAAAACUUACGCCGGAAAAAGGUACUGCUUACAUCUAAAGUGUAAAAUGCGAGAAUGCACAGAACAUACAAGAAGAAAAAAUGACGUCAUUUCAUAAUCUCGACGAAGCGAGAAAGGGAUAACAUACAGCACAGAUUAAAAUAAGACACAUGACGUCAUCGUCUCUUGAGGAAAGCGGCACUAUAAGUUUAAGAACAUGUUAACUACAAAACUAGCUGCGACAAACUUUAAGUCAUAUGUUUUUUAUUUAAUAAUACUUUCCCAAUGUCAUCAGUCACCUAAGUCUAUAAUUCCACUGAAAACAAAAUUAUCUUAACUGACAUGACCAUUUACAUAGACUUUAGUCUAUAUUAUUUUUCAAAUCGUCGAAAAAAGCAAAUACCAUUUAAAAUCUUAUACUUUUAAAAACAUGUAACAAAACAUGGAUCGGGAAAGACAGAUAAAAAGAAAAAAUAGAAAAAUAAAAAGCGACAAUUGGUUGGAUCCUUUACAUUACAAGUAAAAGUAAAUUACUAAAGAAAAUGUUUUCCCCUUCUAAACGCAAUUCAUAAACCUAGUUGAAUCUAAUGAUAAUACCUUCAGGGAUAAACUAAACAUCUCUAUUUGCCUCUGAAUGUAAUCGACAAAAAAAAAACACUUUAAUAUUCACAAGGAUGCAGAUUUUAAACUCAAACUACUGUACAGGUUGGGUUUAAACCCCGAAACCAAAAUUGGAUUACGCCCGUGAUAGGUUUGUAUGUAUAAUGUAUGUAUGUAUGUAUGCAGUGCCGGCCCUAACAUUGCGGGGUCUUAUGUGAAACGGAUUGCGCGGUGCCUAGUCUUGGUAGAAAUUAAGAUUUUGUAUUAGAAAAUAAAUUCAUUUUUGCAAUAAAUUCUUUAUUAACGGAAAGCUGACAAUGCAGUUUUUUUUUUACACAUAGGAUCGGCACCCAAAAAUGACAAUUGUAUCUAUUUUUCAGGAGAUCUUUAUGAGUUUUCAUGAAAAUUUUAAUAAUUUCAGGAGAUUUCCACAAAUUAUUCUUAUAUUUUGCAAUUCCAAAAAAUUCCUGGAGGGCCUAGAAAAUAAGGAUGCCGCACAAACCCUAUUAAUAUAUAUAAUCUAUAAGGGUUUAAUGUAAUGAUUUAGACCUGGAAUCAGCGCGGGCCUAUGAAAGUGCGGGGCCCACUGCUGAGGCAUAGAUUGCAGUGGCCUAAGGCAGGCCCAGUAUGUAUGUAUGUAUGUAUGUAUGUAUGUAUGUAUGUAUGUAUGUAUGUAUGUAUGUAUGUAUGUAUGUAUGUAUGUAUGUGUGUAUGUAUGUCUUUAUGAAUCUGUUUACUAAUGCAUAUACGUUUGUUAGCUCUUAUGCAUGUAUGUAUGCAUUGUAUAUAUAUAUCAAUCCGUCCCAAUGUCUUAUUGAUAAACAAUUUAAGGUAACUUUGUUUUAUAGCACUUCGUGAGACGAUGCACCGAAAAUCAAACUAAAGUGUACGCCUAUUGACGACUACUGACCAGUAACAUGUUUGAUGAAAGUGAAGACAACGAAUUUACUAUCAAGUUUUCUAUGCCAUCCAGAUUAUUGAUUUGGCAGUCAUGAAUUAUUCCUAAGUCAUAAUGGAUAGUCACGACAUCCAAAUCUAUGCUUUAAGUACCUGCCUUUUUAAUAAUAGUUUAUUUUUAUAUAUUCUGUCUUUGGGAAUGUAUCUAUCUAUCUAACUGUCCAUCUAUCUAUCUAUUUAUGCGAGGUCGAGAGGCUAGGUAUGCUUGAACUUGGCUAGCUAUGAAGGCUGUUCGAGGUUCGACACCCUACUCUAGCAGAAUUGUGUUUACUGAGCGUCUAAAGGCAGCACGGAAAACCUCCCCGGAUACCACUUCUCCCACUGGUCCACAUAUGAGAUUGGACCAUAGCACUCUGAGCAUGAUGCUCUCUACAACAAUGCCCAACACGACACUAACUACUUUAAGAACUUGACAACUUUGGACACGUUAAUAACCAAUGAAUCAGAGCCAAGAGUGUAGGAUGGGCAACAUAUGACACUGACUUUAUAAAUGCGUCAUCUUAGAUACGUUGUGAAGUUCUUUCCUGGGGGGUUAAAUAUGUGCCAGAAGACUCAAUGGUGACCAUGGACUACAGGUCAAAAAGAGUCAGAAUAUUUAUUAAUGAAAGGGAAAUAGUUGU